CGGUUCCAGCAGCUAGGUUCCGCCUCCUUCUUCAUUUUUUUUUUGUUUCCGGUUCCAGUAAGAAUCCGCCCCCCCCAAGAGCUCUCCCUCAUCAAGCUUUUAAACCCAUCUUCUUCAAGGCCUUCAACCUCUUCCUCUCCAAGUCCUCAUCUUCUCCAAGGGUUCAAGCAAAGGAAGUUGGGUUUGGAGGAUCUUGGGUUCCAUUAUCAACACUUCUCCAAGCUUUGAUUUUCGAUGUCUCCACGUCGACCUCGACCUCCUAGGAGUCGCUCCCGUCCGCAGCCUAGCGAGGAAGAAGUUCCUACAGCAUCCUCCCCUCCAGCGGCUUCCUUUUUCGGGGUCGAGUUCCCCGCGGGCAGCCUUCCUCCUCAUGCUAAUACUGGUUGUAGCCGG